rnacentral:misc_RNA from 1 species
UCCCGUUUGACACGGGCAGUCUCGCUAGAGUGCUCGGCAUAACCCGGUGGCAACUAGCGACAGGGGUUUCGCUCGUUAAGGGACUUAACCCGACACUUCACAGCACGAGCUGACGACAGCCAUGCAGCACCUGUGUAUGUUCCACCCGUGAGGGUGUUACCCCUGUUUCCAGGGGCUAAUCCAUACAUGUCAAGCCUUGGAUAAGGUUCUUCGCGUUGCUUCGAAUUAAGCCACAUGCUCCACCGCUUGUGUGAGCCCCCGUCAAUUCCUUUGAGUUUUAGCCUUGCGACCGUACUCCCCAGGCGGCGCACUUAACACUUUUGCUUCGACCCCGAUGGCGUCAGAGCCUCCAGGAUCUAGUGCGCAUCGUUUACGGCGUGGACUAC